rnacentral:lncRNA from 1 species
AAAAGUAUUGUGUUCCUUUGAGAAGAAUUUGAGCCUUGGUUCCUUAAUCUGAACCUUAGAGGAAGGUAGAGUGUAGGGGCUUUGGGGACAAAUCUUGUUUUAAUCUUUGUUCUUCAUUUAUCAGCUUUAAGUGACACUGGGCAAAUUCCCACCUUUGGUGGCCCCAGGUUCCUCCUUCCUCUUGCUGGAUCCCAGCAGCCUCCUCUGCAAGGCUGCUGGGCUGCUGGGGGCUUUAAAUGAGGUAAUGUGGGAGAGGCAGGGAGUACAAAUCUUGAGACAUUUGCUGCUCAGUGAAUGUUGGUGUAACACCUCCCCUAAUGCUGGCUUUAAAUAGCACAAACUUCAUACUUUUACUCCUUAGGGAUCUAUAACAAAACAGUGUCAGAAAAGCAAAGUAAAUUGAGCCAACCAAUUAACUGUGUAAUACUCCCCAGGUCUACACACUCGAGUUCAUGUUUCUACCUAGUUUUGUGGGGUUUCUCAGAAAGUAUGGAUACCUCCAAAGAAUUUUACAGCCCAGUGAGGAAGAAAAGACCAAUAUAUAGCAAACAAUUAGAGAAGUGUGUGUGACAGGUGGCUUAUAAUUAAGGUUAAGUGGUGUGGUGCCAGGGGGUUAUGAGUAGAGAGAAAUGCUGCUCUGUGACAGUCCCAGUGCAACUUGAGUAGAAUUAGAUUGGGAGGGAGUGAAGGGGAGGGGCCUGAGAAACCAAUGUCUUAAAAAUCACCCCUUUGAGCAACAUGGAUGGAACUAGAGACUCUCAUACUGAGUGAAAUGAGUCAGAAAGACAAAUACCAUAUGAUAUCACUUAUAACCGGAAUCUAAUAUCCAGCACAAAUGAACACCUCCACAGAAAAGAAAAUCAUGGACUUGGAGAAUAGACUUGUGGCUGCCCAAGGGGAGAGGGAGGGAGAGAGAGGGAGUGGGAGGGAUCUGGAGCUUGGGGUUAUCAGAUACAAUUUAGAAUAGAUUUACAAGGAGAUCCUGCUGAGUAGCAUUGAGAACUAUGUUUAGAUACUCAUAUUGCAACAGAACAAAGGGUGGGGGGGGGAAAUGUAUACAUGUAAGGAUAACUUGAUCCCCAUGCUGUACAGUGGGGAGGGGAUGGGGUGGGGGGGGGGCGGGAAAUCACUGCUUUGGAAUCUGAUAACAAGUGGCUAGUAGAUUCCUAGGUAACUAGUAGCUCUCUAUCAUAGAGUUCAGUGGUUAAAAACAUUAUUCCUGGAUUUAGGUCCUGGCCUUACCAUUGAGGAGCUGUGGGACCUUAGGCAAAUUGUGCAGACUUUCGGUGCCUCCCGCAUUGGUAGGACUCAUAACAGCAGGUGCCUCAGAGAUUGAGGACUGUAGUUAACCUUUGUCAGAUGCUUGGUUCCUGGCACAAGGUAGUCACAAUACAAAUGUGAGCUGUACUUAUGACUACUUUUGUUAAUAUUCAUUGCAUUCCUCUUGUAUCUCCCUUGAGGUGUGUGAAGCCUUAUGCCCCAGAGUUGGAGGGCCUUUGUCCAGAAAGACACUGUUCUGUAGAGUGGAUUUUCUCUGCACAUUGCUGGGCAUGUGGUGAGUACUCAGCUGGUAGACUGAGCAAGUAAAUGCUUGACAGACAGUGGAGCCUGCUGCUGUCUCUGUUGGUCCUGAAUGUCUUCAGUCAGGACCUUUUUGACUUUAAAAAUUGAAGUCAGUCACAGUUAUUUUACCAUCAAAAAGGUGUUUAUUUGGGAACAGCAGAGAAUUAUAAUUUAGGACAUGUGAGCCAUGGCAGAAAUCAUAGGCAAGUCCAACAAACAAAGGAGAAGAAUGUUAUUUUUUAGAAAAAGGAGGGGUUUGGGGAGGGUGGUUCUGAAGGAAGUCCAUUGGUGAAAAGUGAGAGUUGAGGGUGAAGAGAUUUCUCUUUGGCUAUGUAGCUGGGGUAGUCAGUCUAUGUCUUUUCCUGUUGGGGCCUGUAGCUGGUGAUUUGUUUCUCUGGGAUGAUUCUUCUAUUAGUGUCUGUAGUUGACACUUCUUCCUGUAAUUGACAUCCUGUGAUACUGCAUGAGUGCCUCCCCUUCAGGCUUUCUGAUUCCAUUUUAGUGAGGUUUCCCCUUAUUAAUUUUCAUUUUAGCAUGCAGGCUGGCAGCUGCAGCUCCCAUUCAACCCUUAGCCUGGGAACCUCCAUAUGGAGUGGGUGCGGUCCUAAAAAAAAAAAAAGAAAAAAAAAAGAAAAAAAAAGAAAAAAUGACCAAAGUAAGUGCUGUUGGUGGACACCAUGGUGAUUACGUACAAUUGGGAAACACACGGUAGCCCAGCAGGGCAUGCCCAUGCUCACGGUAAUGGGGCUCAGAUUUCACCUGGCGGCUUGUUAAAACACCUUGUGCUGGGCCCACCCCCUCCUGAGUUUUUGAGGCAAGUAGCUUGGGGUGGGACCUGGUAGUUUACAUGUCUAACAUCUUCCCAGCUGAUGCUGACGCGGCUGGCUGGUCUGGGACCACUUUUGAGAACCACGUCCAUAAGCAAUACUCACAUCAGUGAAGAGCCAGCUGCUCCUACUUCUAGUUACAGUCAGGUGAGGUGAUUUCAGCUUCAGAAAUUUUAAAUACUGUCUGCCUCAUGAAAUAAAAACUGAACUCCCAUGGUCCUGUUUAUCUAGGCCAGCAGAGGGAUGUCUGAGCCAGUGCAAAGGAGAAAUUGCUUUCUGUCCUUGCCAGUGUUCCUGACAUGGGUUAGAUGGAUGAUAACCCAGGGUGGAGAGAUUUGGAAACGCAAGUCCAGUCUUAUUAGAAGCGUGAGGUGCUAUCUGAUGCAUCUUGUCUUAGGAAGAUGACCUGAUUUGUUUUAAUUUUGUUAUUUUGCACUCUCCCUGCUCCUUGCCAUAGGCAUAAAAAGGCUUUGUGUUCACCAUUUAACCCCUUGGGAAAAUCUAGGCACAGAGAAAGUAAAAGUCUAUGAAGAUCCAUAGCCUGACAGUAGAGAGGCAGAAGAUAAUCUUAUUUGACUGGUUUAAUUAUUGUAGAAAACUGUCUGUAGGUAAAAAAAGGAAAGGGGAGUUCCUGUUGUGGCACAGUGGAAACGAAUCCAACUAGGAGCCACGAGGUUGCAGGUUCGAUCCUUAGCCUAGCUCAGUGGGUUAAGGAUCUGGUGUUGCCAUGAGUUGUGGUGUAGGUCACAGACGCCGCUCGGAUCUGAUGUGGCUGUGGCUGUGGUGUAGGCCAGCAGCUGUAGCUCUGAUUCAAUGCCUAGCCUGGGAACUGCCAUAUGCUGUGGGUGGGGCCCUAAAAGGCAAAAAAAAAAAAAAAAAAAAAGAUAGGAAAAGAAGGGCUGUAUACCUGUCUCCAGCUGUUGUGAGGUAAAAUAGCCACUUUGUGUCCAAAUUUAAUACAGCACCCACACACAGGAAGCCCUCACCCCUAAGUGUGAACCACUCUUAUUCCAGCCUCAGUUUUCUAUUUUGUGAUGGAGACUGCAGUUCCACCAUCUGAACAAUGUUACACGAAAACUGAGGCAUUAGAAAUGUUUUGAAUUGAAGGAUUUUGUAGGAAAUCAGGAUUUAGGCUUAACUCAGAACAGAACAUACAAGUGAACUGUAUUUGGGAAGAAAUGUUCCAGAUUUUUCCCUGUGCUGGUUGUCAGGGCUCGCCUGUGACCCAGUAGCCAGGGUUAGCUUGUUUGCUUGGUGAGGGAAUGUGACAGGGCAGAGAGGAUGGGACAAGGCCAAGGGAAGGCCGGGGAGGCCAGAGAGGCCUGUGCACUUAUGCCCCACAUUCUCAACCUGGGGUUUACGUGGUGGUGAACACAUGUUGAGAGUCUGCUUUGGGACAGACCCUUGUUGUGCCUCGCGAUACAGGGAUGAGUAAGAUGGGGUCUGAGUUCCCGAGGGGUUGGUGGGGGAGACAGACUGGCCCACAGAUAUGUGCCAUCACCAGGUAAUGGGUGUCCUGUGUCAGUUGCACACCAAGCUCCCUGGGGGCGGAGGGGGAGGGCUGGAGGAGGCGGGGCCUGCUUCAGGUUCCCUGGGUGACAGCGCCUGAGAAGGUGACUGACACCCUAGGGUGGUGUGGAUGGGUGGACCUGGUGUAUUUUGGUUUUGUUUCCUUUUUUCUUUUGGUUUCGGCAUUUCCUUUUUGAGUGAGACAAUUUCGACAGCAGAGAGGAGUCUGGGCAGAUGUGCACCCUAAGCGGUCAGCCCGCAGAGGGAACUGAGAAUGGGAACUGCCCUUAAGAACCACUUAGGAGGUUAGAGGGGGCACGUGCUAGCCUAGUUUCAUCAUCUCUAACAACUCUGGCUAAUUUUUAGCUAUUUCCAAGGAAGGUAGAUCCUGCAGAAGAUUAAUGUCCUUUAAGGUACAUCAGCUUUUAAAAGAAAGAUUCUGUAUUAAAUGCAAGGUUUUGUUUUAUUUGCCCUUACUUUUUGUCAAAAUUCUAAUUCCACUUUCAGUUUUGUUUUCAGGGGUUUGCAUUUCUCAUUGUCCUUGUCCUCCCCUACUUUCUUCCCCUUCUUUUCCUUAGCACCCUUAUAGAUAUCACGCAGGUUGGGGCAUGCGUGCUAACACUGUGCCCUUAGCAAACUGGGGCCAUGGCUUCCUUAUCUGUAAGUGGAUGGUGUGGGUUAACUGAGCCCUAGUCAUCUGGUCCCCCCUCUGUGAGUCCUGUGACUAGGGAACCCCUGGAAAGAGUGGCUCACCAGCUCCCUUUCAUCAGUCACUUGUUAUCCUGUUAAUAAAAAAAAAUCUUAUUUCAGAACUGCCUUCCCCAGUCCUAUUAGCUAUAUGUCCAAACCAGUUUAUAGAAACAGGAGAAAGGAAGCGGUUGGUUUUUCACUGUCCUGUUUUCCAGCUUGUGAUUGAGGACCCUCUUGGCAGGUUAUCUCUCCUAAAGCUGCAGGAUGUGGGAUGAUCAGUGUUUUAAACGUUUCACUCAGGCAUACAGUGUGAAUGCAUGAAGGAUGUUAUAACUAAUAUUACUUAAGGACGAACUGUAGAGAAUGUUAAGAUUAAUCUCAGGUUGUGGGGCGGGGCACAGGUUCUUCACUAAACCAGGGGGUGGGUAAUACUCAACAUACGGCUGGAGCUCCCAGGAAUCACAGGCCAAGUGAAGGUUUGGGGUGGAAGGAAGAAGUCCUGGGGUCAGAGAGGUGGAGAACAGAGCUCCAGAAAACCAUCCUUUGCGUUCCUGUCAUGGUUCAGUGGGUUAAGAACCCAACAUAGUGUCCGUGAGGAUGCGGGUUCGAUCCCUGGCCUUGGCUGUGUGGGUUAAGGAUCUGGCGUUGCCAUGAGUUGUGGUGUAGGUUGCAGACGUGGCUUGGAUCCUAAGUCGCUAUGGCUGUGGUGUAGGCCGGCAGUGCAAGCUCUGAUUCGACCCCUAGCCUGGGAACU